GACGAACGCUGGCGGCGUGCUUAACACAUGCAAGUCGAACGGAAAGGCCCUGCUUUUGUGGGUUGCUCGAGUGGCGAACGGGUGUGUAUCACGUGUGUAACCUCCCCUUGACUUUGUGAUAACUUCUGGAAACUGGGGCUAAUACCGGAUAUGAUCUCCUGCUGCAUGUUGGUGGUUGGAAAGUUUCGGCGGUUGUGGAUGGACUCGCUGCUUAUCAGCUUGUUGGUGGAGUAGUUGCUUUCCAAGGCUUUGACGGGUAGCCGGCCUGAGAGGGUGAACGGCGACAAGGGGACUGAGAUACGGCCCAGACGGCUACGGGAGGCAGUAGUGGGGAAUAUUGCAGAGUGGGCGGAAGCGUGAGGCAGCAACGUUGCGUGCGGGAUGACGGGUUUCGGGUUGUAAACAGAUUUCGAAGGUGACGUAGCGUGAGUGACGGUAAUGGGUAAAGAAGCCACGGCUAACUACGUG
rnacentral:rRNA from 1 species